rnacentral:rRNA from 1 species
UACGACUACAUAUCAGGCAUAUCAAUAAGCGGAGGAAAAGAAACUAACAAGGAUUCCCUUAGUAACGGCGAGUGAAGCGGGAAGAGCUCAAAUUUGAAAUCUUCAAGGUUUUACCUUGACGAAUUGUAGUUUAAAGAAGUGUUUUCUGUUGAAGUUUUGGUAAAAGUUCUUUGGAAUAGGACAUCAUAGAGGGUGAGAAUCCCGUAUUUGACCAUUAUUUUCAGCUGUGUGAUACACUUUCAAAGAGUCGGAUUGUUUGGGAAUGCAGUCCAAAAUGGGUGGUAAAUUUCAUCUAAAGCUAAAUAUUGGCGAGAGACCGAUAGCGAACAAGUACCGUGAGGGAAAGAUGAAAAGAACUUUGAAAAGAGAGUUAAACAGUACGUGAAAUUGUCAAAAGGGAAGCGUUUGACACCAGUGUUGUUUUCUCGAAAAUCAAUUAAAAAAAGUUGGAUUUUGUGUUGUAUUGACCUUAACAGCUUGCUUCACUCUUUUCCAGCUUUUUUUAAUGCACUUUUCGUUUAACAAGUCAACAUCAGUUUCUUUUGUUGUAAAAGGGUCAUUGGAAGGUGGCUUUCUCUUCGGAGAAAGUGUUUAUAGCCUUUGAUCUCUGCAAUCGGAGAGACUGAGGUCUGCAGCGUAGAUCCUUCGGGGUUAGAUACAUUUGUGCUAAGCUACAGCUUUUCAUAGACAACUUGUUGACUAUGUUUAGUCUUGUAACUUACCCGCUUAUGCUAUUUUACCUACGCUUAGGAUGUUGAGCGCAUGUCUCUCUCU